GAUCCUGGCUCAGGACGAACGCUGGCGGCGUGCUUAACACAUGCAAGUCGAACGGAAAGGCCUCUUCGGAGGUACUCGAGUGGCGAACGGGUGAGUAACACGUGGGUGAUCUGCCCUGCACUCUGGGAUAAGCCUGGGAAACUGGGUCUAAUACCGGAUAGGACCAUGCUUUAGUGUGUGUGGUGGAAAGUUUUUUCGGUGUAGGAUGAGCCCGCGGCCUAUCAGCUUGUUGGUGGGGUAAUGGCCUACCAAGGCGG
rnacentral:rRNA from 1 species